UGAGGAAAACGUCGGAAUCUGCCUAUUUGUGGGGGAUAACGUAGGGAAACUUACGCUAAUACCGCAUACGACCUACGGGUGAAAGUGGGGGACCGCAAGGCCUCACGCAGAUAGAUGAGCCGACGUCGGAUUAGCUAGUUGGCGGGGUAAAGGCCCACCAAGGCGACGAUCCGUAGCUGGUCUGAGAGGAUGAUCAGCCACACUGGAACUGAGACACGGUCCAGACUCCUACGGGAGGCAGCAGUGGGGAAUAUUGGACAAUGGGCGCAAGCCUGAUCCAGCCAUGCCGCGUGUGUGAAGAAGGCCUUCGGGUUGUAAAGCACUUUUGUCCGGAAAGAAAAGCUUAGGGUUAAUAACCUUGAGUCAUGACGGUACCGGAAGAAUAAGCACCGGCUAACUUCGUGCCAGCAGCCGCGGUAAUACGAAGGGUGCAAGCGUUACUCGGAAUUACUGGGCGUAAAGCGUGCGUAGGUGGUUUGUUAAGUCUGAUGUGAAAGCCCUGGG
rnacentral:rRNA from 1 species